UCUUAAACCAGUAACUUUUCCGCUACAUCGAUCGUUUACUCUCUCCAUGAAUCAAUAUCUUCAUAAGGAACAAACUGAACCCAAAUCCUUCAGAUAUACUACCAUUUAUCCACAGUUAAUCAACUUACUAAUUAAACCAGGAAUUAGAACUUGAAUCAUAAAUAGAUUGUGAAAUUGAUCAUGAAUAGCAACUACACGAUGAACUAAUUUCCCCAAUUAAGGCCGCGUAAUCCCCCAACAAACACAAUACGUUAGUUGAGCGAACUAAUCAAUCCAAAGCAGAGGAAAAUCAAUUAAGGUCGCGUAAUCCCCCUUCACGAGCCCCCGCCGCCGUUCGCCACGCCGCAGAUGCUCUCCGAUUGGCUGCGGCCGCGCCUCGCUGCCGACCUCUUCGGAUCGUGGGGCGUCAAGCCGGGCACAAAAAAUGUCCACAAUCUGUGGCUGGAGAUCGCCGACGGCGAGACCUCUCUCGCCGAUUCUGUCCCUCCUGUUCACACGGUCGAGGCACCGCGGCCGCCCGCUGUCGGAGAAGAUGAAGCCCGGUGAAUCGGUCAAGGCGGCGGUUUACCGCGCCGUGAAAGAGGAAUUAAGAUUUCCACAGCGAAUCAGAGCUAGCCACGAAUUCGGCGAUCGUCAGCGGCAACCCCCUCUUCGGACGGCGGAGCUUCAUCAUUCCGAGAUAUGGCUCUGAAGCGACGAAGAAGAUGAACCUUACGUGACGGUGGCAGUGCGCGACGGCGAUUUGCAGCCGGAGUGGCGGCGCGAUGGGACGACGACGACGAAGAUGGUGGGGGGGGAGAGAGAGAGAGAGAGAGUCGAAAUUGUGAGAGCUGAAGCUUUGAGAGAGAGAGGAAAGUGGCCAUUUUUAAAAAUUUUAAUGUAAGGGCUAAUUUUGUACUUUUACACAAAAACUGGCUAAAUUUUAAUGUUUUUAUUUCA